AUUGAACGCUGGCGGCAUGCCUUACACAUGCAAGUCGAACGGUAACGGGCCUUCGGGUGCCGACGAGUGGCGUACGGGUGAGUAAUACAUCGGAACGUGCCCGGUCGUGGGUGAUAACGAGGCGAAAGCUGUGCUAAUACCGCAUACGAUCUACGGAUGACAGCAGGGGACCGCAAGGCCUUGCGCGGCUUGAGCGGUUGAUCGCAGCUUAGGUAGAAGGUUGGGUAAAAGCUUACCAAGCCGACGAUCUGCAGCUGGUCUGAGAGGUUGAUCAGCCACACUGGGACUGAGACACGGCCCAGAGUCCUACGGGAGGCGGCGGUGGGGAAUCUUGGGCAAUGGCCGAAUGCCUGAUCCAGCAAAACCGCGUAAAGGAUGAAGGCAUUAGGGAUGUAAACUGAUUUAGGACGGAAAGUAAUGAUUUCUUUUAAUACAGGAUGGACAUGACGGUACCGUAAGAAUAAGCACCGGCUAACUACGUG
rnacentral:rRNA from 1 species